AAGCCAGUGAAAUAAACCCUGGUGGAAUUCACCAGAAGCCACUGGGCCUCCUAUGGUAUACAGAACCCACAGGUGAAGGAGAGCUGACAGAUGUGGUAAUUAACAGAGAGCAGCUGACAGAAUGGCCACCUGUGAAGGAUCCAGGGUGAAGACUGAAGAAGUCAUUGAAUAUAGUAGAACUGUAGUCUACAGCAAUCAUGAGAAUUGGUCUGGCACCCAGCUAAGUUGGUAGAUAAUGUUAGAGCAAGGAUGGACGAUGACAAGGCUAAGUCUGUCUCAAGGCAUGUUACGCCACCCCAAAGGCUCAGAGACAGUACAGUAGAGGAGGCAGGACGACUUGAGCUAGAAGACACACAAGGCUGUGAAAUGCCUUCUGGAUUCAACACAGCUAUCAUAAUCUUGAACUCACAACAGCUUGUGAUUAUCUUUACUGGGGCUACACAAGACUGCCCUGCAGUCAUGAAGUGGGGAGGUCGUGGGGCUCCCUGCAGAGCUAUUGGGGAGCCCACCAGGCUCCAACAGACAGUUCCAAACUCAUUGUUACACAGAUGGCCCUAGAUUAACUCAGUGGGUCACAGAACAAAACAGACACAGAUUUGGGAAAGGGUUUUGUAGGGACUGACAGAGAGGGCUUACAGGGUGGGGGAAGGAGAUAUAAAAGAGUGUGGAACAUAAGUAAUUCUAAUGAAUUAUAUACAAGUAUGAAAUUGUUGAAGAAGAAAUUAUUGCAAAAAGCAAUUAGCUUCAAAUUAAUUUUAAAUAACUUGUAACUUGUAUUUUAGAAAAUAAUUUAAUAUUUACUAUUAAAUUUGAUUAAAAUAUUUUAAUAAUCAGCAACAACUGUAAUCAAACUUUUGGGGCUUUUUGCUAAAAUCAGUAUGUUACAGAUUUCAGAAUGCUAAUAAAGACUGUUUAAUAUGGGUAACCUA